rnacentral:lncRNA from 1 species
AUGCUUAUGAAUUCCAGCCAAAUCAUCCUACUAUUUCCUAGUCCUAAAAUUUCAUCUCUUCUUGCUUUUCUACUUGUGAUAUCUGUCUAUCAACCCACAUGCAUUUAUUACGUUCCUUCUAUCUGCCUUUCUUCUAUAGGCCUUGAGGAUACCAAGACAAAAAUGAGAGUAUCUGCUGCUUUUGGAAGUCUCAGAAGCUUACAUACACAUGUAAGGGUGAAAAAAAGACUUUGUUCGAAGAAAUGGCUCUCUCUGGGAAAUAAAGAGGAGACGGACAUAUUCAGAAAGGCUAUGUAUGGAACGUUGCUUACAGUUUUGGACACAAUUUAG